AUGAAGUGGCUUUUUCAUUUGUUUCGGACCCUCGUGGGGUAAGAGGUGGAGGUAAUAAUAAUGCAGUGUGAAUGUACGUCAAUUGCGAAGUCAAUGAGGCGUCACAACCGUGGACAUCCCGCGGCGCCCAUUGUUCCUACAUCUGUCGCGUAGAGGCACAACUGUGUGCCAAUUGAUGAGCUGGCGAACAAAACGGUGUGAUUACACGUCUGAUCAAAAUAUGUACUAUAUUUCAUCCGAAUGUUUUGGCCGACAUGAUGCAAAUCUGAACUUAUUUCAAAGGAAAACAGCCUAAACUGUGCUAAACUUGAGUAUAGAGCAUUCAAUAUUAG